CCUGUGUUCGUCACCGCCUUUCUCACCCAAUAUCUAUUUUCCACCGUGAUUGCCCACCUCCUCACCGCUAAUUGCAUCGAUUUCAAUAUGCAGAAGAAAACUUUUUUUUUCAUCUCUUUCUUUUUUCUCUGUCGCUCCACACUGACAUCACUCCAUAAACCAAUCAACCCAUCGAUCGUCUUCAUCGGCUAUCCCUUCUUCUUCGUCACCUCGUACUGGCUGAGACCAUCGUCACCCUGUACGCCGUCGGCCACCACCACCACCAUGUCAACCGACCGUCUCUCUUCAAGCUUCUUCUAAUUCAUCCACCGCCUCAUCCAUACUUUGAAUUUUGUAGUUCCUAUUUUGCUCUAGACCUAUCCACCCCAUUCCUUAAUGUGUUUCUUCAUUCUAUUACUAUGUUCUCACGUUUAUGCUUCGAAUUAAGUUAUAUUGUUAAUUUAGGUGCUAGGGCUCCAAUGGGUCGACCGGUGUUAUGAUCAAUCGAUGAUUGCCUCCAAAAUUUGAGUCACGAGUUCUAAGUCAGUGGCAUACAUAGGAGCCUGUUAAGGUGAACCUAUGCUCGAUUCGUAUAGCAGAUGGAGAACAAGAGGUUCCUAAAUCCUAACUCUUCCUUUAUACCUGCAACAAAUGGCACCAUAAUUUCGGGGCAACUGAGUAAACUUCGGCCACUGCAUCUCCUUUAUGCUCGAUCGAGAAAAACGCAAACCCAUUUCUAUGGCUACUAACCUCAACUUCUUCUCCUACACCAGAUGAUCGGCUAUCGGCCGAGGAUUUUACACAUUCAUAAACCAUAUUUUUUACGAGUGUAAUGUUCUUUUUCUUUACAUUUCAUUUGGUUAAGUUAUUUAUUUUCAAUUGUGGUUCUUGCUUAUUACAGGGCAAGUAGAAGGAGAUGAGUCCCAGGUUGAAGAAACACUUGAUCUAAACCCUAGAAACUGUAGAAAACUUAGAUAGUAACUUGGUUUUACAGGUUUUGCAUCAUCUAUUUCAUCAUAGUUGUUGCUAUUUUGUGUCCCUUUUUAACAUUUUUGGUUGGCAUUUAAUGUUUCAAGCAACAUAUUCAGCUUUUAUUAUGUUAAUACUUAAUCUUUGAUACGGAACAUGCUUAAUUAACUUUCAAUACAUAUCAGGUUCAGUAAGUUAGUAUCGGAUGCAAGGAUAGGUGACACUAUACCCACUACAACAAAAAACCAAAUCGGUCUGAUUGUUAUUUAAACGAUGUUGUUACCUCUUUUCAAUAUUGAGCAGCUGCAGAAAAAUAAAUUGACACCUCAAAAAAAUCAUAACAAACAAACCAUACAAAUUUGAACCGCUAAAAGUAAUUCUAUGAAUUCCUUUUUAUUAUCAAAAUUCCAGAAAUUCCUCUCUUACUUCUGAAAUCAUAAGAAAAGCAACCUUGCUUCAACCAGUAGCAUAAAAUCAGUUAGUAAUGUUCUUUGUAUUCUAAAAAAAUUGCAUAAUCUACUCAAUUUUUUUUCUUAUUUAGGCAAUGUGCUUCUUCAAUGAUUUUAUAAGAAAAUAUAAAAGUAACAAAUAAAUAGAAGUAAAGAUUUUCCCCUUUUGGGUUUUGUUUUUCUACUCAUUAGUUGUUUACAUUUUGGAUUCUUUUGAAGGUACUAAGUAUUGUUUCAAUUUUUUUUCAGGUUUGUUGCUAUUGUGGUUCGUUAUUGAGCUGGAAGUAAUGAUUUCUCUCUCUCUCUCUCUCUCUCUCUCUCUCUCUCUCUCUCUCUUUCUCCCUCUCUCUCUCUCUCUCACCGUAUUCCUUUUAUUUAUCUGUUUCCAACAUCUCUAACGCUGCCGCCAUAAAAGCAGAGUUGUUGACCUCUACCUCUACUACUCCAGCGUCGACCAUUCAGCAACAACACAUUCACUUACUUGAUUAGAGUGUUGAGGGCAAGGUGUUCAUUGAGGCUAUGAACAUUGUCAUUGCUUUGGAUCACAAGAGAAUCAGGUCCCAAUUGUUUUGAAGAUGAGCUAAAACCUUUAUUUUUCCAAGUAUCUGUGGUGCACCCACCACUUCAUUUCACGUAUCAAAGGAGAAAACAGAAAUAGAUUCCAGCAGAGCAAGUGACUACUACCGACCACAAGGAUUUUGCCUGACAUGGAGGGAGGGCAGAGGCAAAAUGAGAAUAAAGUUUAGACCUUUAUGAUGAACACCCAAGAAGAAAUUGGUCUGACCAUUCACUAUCAUGAGAACUUUUUUAGCUGAUAAUAACCUCCGUCCCCCGCGAAGCAGGGAACACCCUCUAGUUAUAAAAUUAAAAUAGUUGUGAUUAACCCUAGAAAAACAUAUAGUAUUUUCUUAGAAGUUUGUAAUCUUAAUUUAAUAU